GGGCUCGUAGCUUAGCUUGGUUGGAGCGCUCGACUGAUAAUCGAGAGGUCCGGAGUUCAAAUCUCCGCGGGCCCA
rnacentral:tRNA from 1 species